rnacentral:lncRNA from 1 species
GCAUCCGGUAGCCUGAAGGGCCAGUCUCACUUCCACCAUGUCCCCGCAACAGCACGGAGUGUAUUUUCAGGCAGCCGGUGAGUAGGGCUACAAGCCUCCAGCUGAGAAAGCAAAGCCAACUCACAGUUCCUUGGCUGUCCCGCGGAGCCUGCGGUGGCAAACCACCUCCUUCAGAAGGGUCUGUGGAUUCUCCUGGCUUUUCUGGUAUGUUCCUGUGGUAGUUCUUGGAGCAGAAGUUCAUGAUGCCAGUCUUCAUAGGCGGCUCUGUCUGUCUGAGUGGGAGCUGCAGUCCUUGCCGGAGUCCCACUGCUCCCGAACACAUGCCCUGAGGCAGCGUGCCUGCACAACCAGCUUCCAUCUGAACGCUUCAGACAUGCGCUGCAUUCAGGCAAGAGCCCUUUGGAUCUUCCCAAUUAGAGCAAAAUCGCUAGCAUUUAACUUCUAAUUUUACAAGUAACAGUGAUUUGCAAUUAGUAACAGACAUCAAGAUGACUUGUGACCAGCAUUAUACAUGUUAUUAAUUUGCACUCAUCUAUAAUUAAUUUUACAAUGGCAUUUAGCUCAAUGCUUAUUAUAGGAAAAUCUGUCGUUGAGAACCAGGAUUAUUACCUCUACAAAUACAUUAUUUUCUCUGUAAAAGAACUCUGACUACUUUCACCAGAAGUACAUUUUUAAAGUUAGUAUUUUGUACUCGUAGAACUAGAUUAAAUAAUAUCUCGUUGAGUGAACGAUAUUUUAAGAUUACAAGCUGAAUUGCUUAUUAUGGCUUUCUAAAUUCAUACCUGUUCUGCAGCAGAAUAUUUAAAAAUUUAAGUAUUGAAAAUAGUCUAAGCAAAGAAAAUUGCUACUUGUUAACUUUGGAAGACUUGAAGACAUAAAAUUUCACCAAAUGACAGAUUUAUAAAAAUUUCUUUUUGGGGGAAUGUUCAAGUAUUGUGAAACUGUUACUGAAAACAAAACAUUAAAGCAUUAGCACGUGUUUUAAAAAGCAAUAAGACAAUCACCUCUGUAAGAAACACACAGCUAAUUAUUAUGUGUUCUAGAGAAUGCUGUCACAAUCAGUCAACUUACAGAAGCAUGAUUUUCUUUUUAUUGAAGUUGUCCCUUUGCAAAGGGUCCCUUUAGAUAUUAUUUCUGUGAAUAAAUAAUUCACUGUCUUCUUCAUACUCAAAGAUAUGCUUUUGAGAUAUAUGUAUAUAUGACUCUUUAGUAUGAGCUUAAUUUUUUUCUCCAGCAAUGGCUGUAAGAAUGCACAGACUACAAGAGACAAUAGUGAGAAAGCUGAGAAAGCUGGUGAUCCACACCCUUUCCAUUGGAAGCCUACAGGGAGCUUUCCCCUAGGGCCCCACGUGGUCAGCCUUAGAGCGACUAACACUUCCUAAUUCAAGAAACCAACCCUUGGCCCCUGCACAGCGAGAACCAAGAUGAAUUGAUUAAUGCACAGUGAAAACUAUAAUUCUCACAAAGACAAAAUCUUGUCAGCAAGUAUGUCUGUCCCCCAUAGCCUGGUGUUUAGCAAAUGAAAUAUUUGAAAUUCAGUGACCACAACAUCUGCUCCUCAGGCCAGUAUCUGGAUGCUUAUUGUCCAUGUUCAGGUACAUCCAUCUCAAAGGAUGUAGAGCCACACACCUUCUUUCAUCUUACAUCAUUUAUUUUGUUAUUUCCUAUACAGGGCAGGGACUUUUCUUGGACAGAGAAGCUGAGAAGUAUCAGAUAAAGAUGACCUGCAUGUACUGGAAAAUAAUCUGUGGUUUAUAUGUAGGCGGAUGGAAGCAAACCAGGGAACAAAAGAAGAAUUUGUAGUUCACAGCCACAUGAGAUAGUCAAGUGUUAAAAGGGAAAAAGAGCUAUCGAAGGCAGGAAGCAAAAUGCCUUCAGAGAUAAAAGGUUAUUCGUGGCUGAGUGAAAAAAAUGGACAAUGAGCAGAAAAUAAUUUAUACUACAAAGUCUUUAGACGUCAUUUACUUGCAAUAGGUUUUCAGUAUAAAGACUCUAUUUUCCACCAUCCCUUGCCAUAUGUUUGGACCCUGUACUUAAGUUGAGGCCAAUGGGUUGUGAAAGUAUUGAGAAGGAGCUUGUGGAAAGCCUUAAAAAAGAAAUCUCAGCUGGUGUGCACCCUCUGCAUGUCUAAGUAAUUCUGAUUUAACUGCUGGAGCUGCUGUCUUGACCCAUGGCCAUGAAAGUUAUUUCUAGGGACAGCAGAGUGCUGAUCUGGAAGGAACCUGGGGCCUAGCAACUUUGAAGCCAGCAUGCCCUGUACGCUUACAUCUGUACUUUGUAUAAGAGGGAAAUAGGCUUCUGUCAUAAUUAAACAGGUAUUUUUGGUUUUCUGUAAAUGUAGUCAAAUCUAAUGGAUAUAUUAUGCUCUGUGCUUCACAUAUUUUAUUUAGUCUUUAUGCAUGCUCAUGAGGUAGGAAUUACUAUGCCUAUUAUGUUUAUUUUACAAAUUAGGAAAUAGAUAUUUCAAUUUUCAUUUUAAUUUCCUGGAGUUAGUAAGCAGAAGAGCUGAGUUUUGAAUCUAGGUCAGUCUGGCUCCUGCCUUAUGUUUUCAUGGGCUAAUCUGUGAGGUUUUAUAUAAUCAUGCAUUCUGGGGACCUUAUCAGUGCCUGAAACACUGCCUAGCUCUCUGUAUACUACCUUAUAUGCAGUGGAUUUUAGUAGGUAUUUGUUAUUCAAGUCAUCUACCGCCAUGGGUUGACAAGGCUUAGGCAGAGGGAAAGGGGUAUCUGUGGGGAAAGGGAGUGUGGAGUAGGCAGAUAUCACUGCCUCUCCUCUCACGAUGAAAGGGCUCCCUAAACAUGUGAUGUCAAUUCACUUAGGUACAAAAUCAUGGCAAAAUUACAACAAUAGUGGUUGGAUGAAAAGAAGGAUAAAGAAAUGACAACACAAUAAAGGAAAAAAUGCCCUGAAAAAUGAAUUAAAACUGCCAAGUUCUUCUUGUACCCAUAGAAUAUUUGUCUUUUUAAGAAAAUUUUAACUCUUGGCUGAUUUUCAACUUCCAAAAAAUUAGAUCUUUUUUUUAAGUACUUUGUUGUGUACUUAAAACUUUAAAAAUAAUAUUGCAGAUAAACAUAUCUGUGUAAUCUCUACCUCUAGUCAAAGGAGUAAAAAGCUAGAAGAAAAAAAAAAUAACCCACACAAUGAGAAUGUGAGAAGUGACAAUAGCAAAGUAAUUAUUUCAGUGAAACUGCAGAAGAUGGAAAACAGGAAUAAAAAUGUUUUCUCACUUACCAGAAGA